AGCGAACGCUGGCGGCAGGCUUAACACAUGCAAGUCGAGCGGGCGUAGCAAUACGUCAGCGGCAGACGGGUGAGUAACGCGUGGGAACAUACCUUUUGGUUCGGAACAACACAGGGAAACUUGUGCUAAUACCGGAUAAGCCCUUACGGGGAAAGAUUUAUCGCCGAAAGAUUGGCCCGCGUCUGAUUAGCUAGUUGGUGAGGUAACGGCUCACCAAGGCGACGAUCAGUAGCNGGUCUGAGAGGAUGAUCAGCCACAUUGGGACUGAGACACUGCCCAGACU
rnacentral:rRNA from 1 species